rnacentral:rRNA from 1 species
AUGUGUAGACCUGAUGGCAUCAACAUACCAGAUCGCAAGUUCUACAUAGGAGAUGCUGGCUAUGCAUGCCGGCCAAGUGUUUUUCCACCCUUCAGGAAAACCAGGCACCAUCUGAACAAGUUCUGUGGUAGGAACUAUCCUAGGACUCCUGAACUAUUCAAUCUCAGACACUCUAGCCUUAGAGUAACAGUUGAGAGGGUAUUUGGAGCUCCCAAGAAUAUGUUUAAGAUCCUGAAUCAUAAGCCAUUCCAUCCUUACCCUACCCAGGUUAAGCUUGUUCUUCCAUGUUGUAUCGUUCAUAACUGGAUCCUACAAUGGGGAACUGGCGAACUUGUAUCAGAGGAGGAAUAUGUGACGCCAGAUGAUGUGAUCAGCUCUGGCCUUGGUGUGGAGGUGUUUGACAACGAAGCGUGGAAGAACAAAAGGUUGGAGUGGGCUCAGGCAAUGUGGGAUAACAAAGGUCAAACAAGGAUCUGA